CCCCGCCCCUGCCCCAGGGCUCGGUCCCACUGCCUCAGUCAGUACCACUGACCCAGCAGGAGGAAGACAGCGACCCCAGACCCUCACUUGACAUCUGAGGCAGAGGGAGUCCAGGGUCAGAGGGCAAGCGUCCCAGAGCCAGGUGGGGUGGUCCCAGAGCCAGGUGGGGUGGUCCCAGAGCUAGGGGGUGGUCCCAGAGCCAGGUGGGGUGGUCCCAGAGCUAGGGGGUGGUCCCAGAGCCAGGUGAGCCAGGCCUGCUCACUCCCUCCCCGGGAGGGAACCCCUUCAGCCUCAUCCUCGGGGCGAGGGCAGAGAACACAUGGGCCCAGUCCCAGAGGCCUGCAGGGCAGUGGCUGAGUGGACACAGUGCCACAGGCUGGCCCUUGAGUUCCUGAGACAGUGAGGGCCCUGCCCAAGGCCAGGGUCCUGGGCGCCCCCUGCUUCUGGUUCUCUGCCUGAUG